rnacentral:rRNA from 1 species
UACGUAGGGUGCGAGCGUUAAUCGGAAUUACUGGGCGUAAAGCGUGCGCAGGCGGUUAUGCAAGACAGAGGUGAAAUCCCCGGGCUCAACCUGGGAACUGCCUUUGUGACUGCAUAGCUAGAGUGCGGCAGAGGGGGAUGGAAUUCCGCGUGUAGCAGUGAAAUGCGUAGAUAUGCGGAGGAACACCGAUGGCGAAGGCAAUCCCCUGGGCCUGCACUGACGCUCAUGCACGAAAGCGUGGGGAGCAAACAGG